CAUUAAUCAGAUGAACCAAAGCAAGAACCCAAAGCAACACAGAGCCAUAUGCCCUUGCUUUACUCCUAGUGUAGAAUUUACAAAAAGCAGUGGAAAUAAAUUAGCUAAGCAACAAUAGAGAUCCAAACAAACAGAGAAAACAUCAAGAAACAAUGAAGAAAAAUCCUUUGAACAGGAGACAUCCAGAGACCAUGCAGCCUAGGGUUAGGCAUUUUCCUUGAAACCAGAAGACCCCUAAAAAUUUAUCUUUCACAAAUAAAACAAUCGGAAUAAGACACAAUAUAAAAGAAUAGAAAUGGAGUUAGAGGAGAGGGAAUUACCAGCCAGCACAAGAUCCACUAUCUCGAACCAAGAAUUAAGAGUGAGAAAGAGCAGAGAGAGAGAGAUCUGUAAAUCGCCACAAUUAUUUAGCCAAAAGAAAGCUGCUGAUUUCAGAAAAAAUUCCAAAAGAAAGCUCUAUCUCUUACCCAAAAGCUCUAUCUCUUAACAUCAUAAAGAAAAACUAACACACAACAAGGAGACCUGAGUGCAAAAGGCAUAGAAGGUGUUUCUAUAAAUUAUUAACUUUUUUUUUUUAUGAGGAAAGAAAAGAAGACAACAGCAAGCUAAAAAAAAAAAAAAACCCAAGAACCUAAAGUAAGAAUCCCAAAAGAAAAUAUCUACACACUCCCUUCUCUCUGCGUAUGUUCCUCUUCUCCAUAAAAAAAAAUAAUCACAAAAGUUCAAAGGCGAUGAAAAUAAAAGAGAAACAUUGUGAUCUGAGGAUUUCCAGCCAAAAAAAAAAACAUAACACUAGAAAAUUACAAGGAAAAAAAGACCUAAGUCCGUAAAAAGGAAUUGAGGGUAUAGAGAUAGGUACACGAUAGGAUGCCAAGAGAAUGCAAAUAGAGAAGUUAGAAAGACAGUAAAGAGUGAGAAUCCUAAUAAAGCGAAAAAAGACGAAGCUACAAAGCUUAUACUCCAGAGAAC
rnacentral:lncRNA from 1 species